GCCAAGCCAAGUGGAUGGGAGGCUGUCUAGCGAGGAUGACAGUAGAGGCCACACUGUCCACCUGCGAUUGCCGUCGUGGACACAGUGAGGAGGUCCAUGGGUCCAGCACAUGUGCUGAGCUCUUGCCACGGCCCCUGUGUGCCCAGCACUUGUCCAGGCAAGAGGGACCCGGCCCAGGGAAGACCUGCAGGGAGAAGAUUCUAGAUCGAGAGACGAGCUUGGUGAAAGGUCCCAGGUGGAGAUGGUUCUGACCUGUUUGAGAAAGCGUGAGACGACCAGUGUGGCUGUAGCAAAAAUGUGUUCAGAAAGCCGUUUCUGCGUGCCUGCCCUGGGAAGGCUUGAGCGGAGGCCUGGGUCUGUUUAACAUCAGGCUGUGACCAAGUGGCCAAACAGCUUUGAUUUGUAAAGUAAAUGUCUGGAGGGAAUUUAUGCGAGUGGCUCUAGGGUCCCUGCCACGGAUGCAUCACACAAGGAUCGUCUUUCCUCAGAUGACCGGAAUGCAACGUAGUAACCGUCGGCUCAAACCCUGUCCUUGUUUGAGUUUCAGAACAAAAAUCCAUCGUCACUUGGAGCACGUCAUAGGUGGGUUCUCGUUAGUUCCUUUGCCCCCCGGAGCUCUCCAGGAUGGAGACCCGUCCCCUGCUGGGCUCCUUGCUGCCGCCCCUGCUGCCAUCGCAUCCGACUCUCCCCUGCCUUUUAAGGAAGCGCUCUUCGCCACUGGACGCGUUUCAGCCGCCGCAUUCCAGCCGGCACACAUGGAACCCAUUGCCGGCGAGCGCAGGGGAGCCAGCCAGCGUGGCAGAGAGGCGCUAAAAAUAGCCGCUGCAGCCUUCGCUGGGGCCCUGCUCCUCCUCUGCCCAAACAGGCGCUGCUGCGUGCGGGGCUCGCCCGGACUCUGCCGACUCCCUUGUUGGGCAGAAGUUGUCCCUCAACCCCCACCCCAGAUUAACGGUUGGUUUACAGAGGAGUGGCACCAGUGCCCAGUUUCCUGGGGUCACUCUCUCUUGCAGUCUCCCUGACCUCCCGGGGCCAGGUCCUCACCUUUCCUGCCAGAGAACCACAACGUGGGCAGCACGAAGCAGGAAACGCAUGGGCAGCCGAAGCGGCCACUGGCACUGUGUCUCAGAGACCCUCAGACUCAGCCCGCUGUGGUCCACUCGGAGCACACUGAGGAUGCUGGGGCCAGGUGCAGUGCCAGGCCCACGUGGUGGCAGGGCCAGCCUUGCAAACACUCAAAGCCGCGUGAGGCGGAACCCAGCAGCGGGCACUCUGGGGCUGGGAAACAAGGAAACUGUGUUCGUCUACAAGGCAGUAGGGUUUGAAGAUCUUAACACACCGCUGCCAGGAAAACGUCUUGUAGGCAAAAACGGCCCUUGGGCCACCCGUUUGCAGUGUCUGGUUAGAGGGUCCGAGUUAAAAUUCACUUCCCAGUGCACGCUGCUGGGUCUGAUCACGGUGUAUGGCUGUGCAAAGCUUCUCGGCGCUCCCUGGGGACGGGCCUCGCUGGGGAUCGCUGGCUGUGACCCCAGCAGAAAGACCGCGCGGUGCCGAGGCCCGGGCUUUGCCGCGAGCGUGUGCCUGAGCACGCGGGUUGCUGGGGUUGCUGGGCUUGCCGGGAGGCCGGGUUGUGCCAGGCGAGGCUGUCAUCAUAAAGACUAAGCCGAGUUCCCGGCACGGCCGGCGUCUGUGAAUGGGUGAGAGUCCUCCAUGUGCCACUGGCGUCAGGGCCACGAGGAAAGAGGAGGCCAAGCUGCGACAUGAGUCACGUGUCGAAGCCAUUCCCACCAAUGAAGAACCCGAAGGAAGCAGUUUCUAGAAGUGAAGCUGCAGGCCAGGGCCUCCUUCUCAAGCUGGCCUGGGGCAUCGGCCCGUGCAGGUGGCCGUGGUGCCUGGCGGCUGUGGUCAGCAAGCAGCGCUCUGCGCCCCAUGGCGUGGCUCUGCCCACCUCCGCAGCAAGGAUGAACACGUGAGCUCGGCCUAGCGGGGGACACAGGUGUAUAAACGGCCACCGCCGUGCGGAGUGACGAGAGCUUGCAUGGAGGCGCGCACACUGUGGGGAGCCCCCGUGAGGUGUGCACGGCAAAGGGCAGUGAGGACGAGAAUAAGAACAAUCCAGGUCCUCGCUCUUACACAGCGUUCAGAGACAGGUGCACAGGGCAGUCCGUGCAAGCUGGUAUGUGUGUGAGCGGCCGUGGGGGAGAAGACUGGGCGUUGAGGAGAAGCACCUCCGAGUCUGCACCCAAGUCCGCCUGGGGAGACUCACUAGCGGGACGGCAUCUUGGUGUGGCCGGGCAGGGCGGGACAGACGUCCCCGCCCGGCGAGUGGGGGAGCAGGGACAAACGCUGGAGGUCUCCGGGGGGAGGAGGGUGUUUAGGGUUCUCGCCCUUUGCUAUCGCUGGCCCCUCCUGGGCGUGGGGGUGAGGCUGGGCUGCCAGCCAGGACGUAGGUCUCGAAGGGCCCUGCCUGUCAUGCAAAGGAGUUGAUAUUCAGCACAGCCGAGAGGGAGGGACGUGGCGGAUGACCAGGACAGGCAGGUGGCGUGAGCGGAAUGACUGUAUUUCAGUGGAGUGCGCCAGGCUGCCCUCCGCUUCCUGCUGUAACGACCUGCCGGGUCCUGCCGAGCGCGCAGCCCGGCGGGCGGGAGAGGGGCCGAGGCUGUGCUCAGGGUGCGGCCGGGGCCGGCACGUGGGGUGCCUGAGGCGCAGGCGAGGAGUGGACCCGGGCCCGGCUGGACCCGGCUGGUGAGGAGAAGGGCACGUGACGAUGGCCUCCCACCGUCCGGGCGCGCAGCGGGUCCACUCCCGAGACGGGGGACACGUGAGGGCUGUGGAAUGGUCAAGAAAACAACGAGUGCCGGUUCUGAGGUUGUCACGGGGCAAGGGCUUGUUAGCAGUUAGAGCUGGCCGGGGCAGGGCAGGGAGCCCGCAGGGGGACCCCAGUGGUCUGCGAGGAUCCCUGGCAGCUGGAGCCUCCGACUGGAGUGCUGUUGCCCAGAGGGCGAGAGGGCACAGAGGGGCCGGGGCCUCUGGGGACACCGCAGUCAGGACGGCCGGGCAGAGCCCGAGGCAGGAGGGUGGGCUCUGGAAACCGGGGCGGCAGCAGGAGAGAUUUCAAGACAGCAGGACUGUGUUUCUCGUGACAGGUCACGAUUCUGCGGCACGGUUUCGAUGAACUCCCGCUCUUCCCGAGAUAAGCCCGUGCUAGGUCGCACCAUCCUGUUCUCUUGGACACCCACAUUAUUUCCCCUUUUUCACAACAUGGUGAUAAUCGACCACGUGAACAGAUGCUUACCUGGUUCCCUUUGUAUUUCAGAACAAACAAUAAGGAAUGGGAUACCUGGGUCCAAGACCACCCAUUUUUAACUCUUUCCGGGCGCAUCACCGAGCUGCCCAACGGAAGAGCUACACCAGUUUACACUCCUACUCAUGGGCUUUUACGUGUCUCAUCUUUCCGAUAAACACAUGCCCAUUUUAUGAAAUCUUUACUAAUUUGAUGUAUGAGAAUUGAUGUUGCAUUAUAUUGAUUUUUUAAAAAUUACUAGUGAAGUUAAAAGUUUAAACAAACUGAACUUAUUCUAAACAAUUAAAAGAAAAACCCACCAAACUAACAGUGAUAUAAGUAAUGGCUUUUCUGGGCCAGGGAUUGAAGCAUGCCUGCUUCACAUUGUCAUAUCCAACACACCUCAA